ACUUGGUUAUACAGUUUGCUGAAGUACUCCAUCUCUGCUUGCACCAACCUAGCUUCUCCCAGUGAGUACCGCGAGGGAUAUGCACUGUAGGAGCUGAUGAGGAGCUGUGCCUAUCUCUUACAUAGAGAUCCACACACAGAAUGCUGGGUUUAAUGCUGCUUGAAGAGCCUGAGCUUUUUCCUUGGUGAAUCUUCUGUUUUUUGAAGAUAAUUUUGAAGGCAUUUGCUGUUGUGCUUUUCCUGUGCUGUGCUUUACCGAUUCUACAGAACAAUUUCUCUGUCGGGUGCAGCACCAAAUGAAUCUCUUCCAUCUGGAUAAAUUAUGCUCGUCACUUCACUCUCGACUCUCUGUUGAGAAAUGUAAUGAGAGAACUUAAAGCCCACUUGACAGACAUGACAUGAAUCUGGCUGCCUCUCCUUCCCCGUCUGGCCAUUUCUACAUGUUACGUAACCCCAUCCCAUGUUAAUGUUUCCAAUAUCCCUUCUGGGCUGCAACUGGGAUUACUGGUGAAUGGAUUCCUAAAUCCUCCCUUGACUUAAAAAAGAAAUAAUUCUGUUAUGUUUUGUUUUUAGAUACUACUAGUUUUAAAAGGUAAAGUUGGAGUAGUUACUUUUUAGGCACCUCCAGAUAUACCAUCCUCAGGAAAUUAUCAAGCAGUAUUACUAAAGGUUUGCCAAUUUCCCUUGCUAUUUCCUUCCAAAUUCAGAGAUGCAGUUAAUCUAAGUCUCAGGUCCUGUCAACUUUUAAUAGUUCUAAUUAAC
rnacentral:lncRNA from 1 species